GACGAACGCUGGCGGCGUGCUUAACACAUGCAAGUCAAACGGAAAGGCCCUGCUUUUGUGGGGUGCUCGAGUGGCGAACGGGUGUGUAACACGUGAGUCACCUGCCCUUGCCUUUGGGAUAACUUCAGGACACUGGGGCUAAUACCGGAUAGGAGCUCCUGCUGCAUGGUGAGUGUUGGAAAGUUUUGGCGGUUGGGGAUGGACUCGCGGCUUAUUAGCUUGUUGGUGGGGUAGUGGCUUACCAAGGCUUUGACGGGUAGCCGGCCUGAGAGGGUGACCGGCCACAUUGGGACUGAGAUACGGCCCAGAAUCCUACGGGAGGCAGCAGUGGGGAAUAUUGCACAAUGGGCGGAAGACUGAUGCAGCGACGCCGCGUGUGGGAUGACGGCCUUCGGGUUGUAAACCGCUUUCGCAUGUGACGAAGAGCGAGUGACGGUAAUAGGUAAAGAAGCACCGGCUAACUACGUG
rnacentral:rRNA from 1 species